AUUGAACGCUGGCGGCAGGCCUAACACAUGCAAGUCGAGCGGAUGAAGGGAGCUUUCUCCUGGAUUCAGCGGCGGACGGGUGAGUAAUGCCUAGGAAUCUGCCUGGUAGCGGGGGAUAACGUCCGGAAACGGGCGCUAAUACCGCAUACGUCCUGAGUGAGAAAGUGGGGGAUCUUCGGACCUCACGCUAUCAGAUGAGCCUAGGUCGGAUUAGCUAGUUGGUGGGGUAAAGGCCUACCAAGACGACGAUCCGUAACUGGUCUGAGAGGAUGAUCAGUCACACUGGAACUGAGACACGGUCCAGACUCCUACGGGAGGCAGCAGUGGGGAAUCUUGGACAAUGGGCGAAAGCCUGAUCCAGCCAUGCCGCGUGCGUGAAGAAGGUCUUCGGAUUGUAAAGCACUUUAAGUUGGGAGGAAGGGCAGUAAGUUAAUACCUUGCUGUUUUGACGUUACCAACAGAAUAAGCACCGGCUAACUUCGUG
rnacentral:rRNA from 1 species